AGAGUUUGAUCCUGGCUCAGGACGAACGCUGGCGGCGCGCUUAACACAUGCAAGUCGAGCGAGAACCAUGGCUUCGGCCAUGGGGACAGCGGCGAACGGGUGAGUAACACGUGGGUAAUCAACCCUCGACACUGGGAUAGCCCGGGGAAACCCGGAUUAAUACCGGAUACGCCAUCUGGCCUUCGGGCCGGCUGGAAAAGGUAGCUUUGGCCUCCGGUCGAGGACGAGCCCGCGGCGGAUUAACUUGUUGGUGGGGUAAAAGCCCACCAAGGCGACGAUCCGUAGCUGGUCUGAGAGGACGAUCAGCCACACUGGGACUGAGACACGGCCCAGACUCCUACGGGAGGCAGCAGUGGGGAAUCUUGCGCAAUGGGCGAAAGCCUGACGCAGCGACGCCGCGUGAGGGAAGAAGGCCUUCGGGUUGUAAACCUCUUUCAGGAGGGACGAAGCCACUCGGGUUAAUAGCCCAGAGGGUGACGGUACCUCCAGAAGAAGCCCCGGCUAACUACGUGCCAGCAGCCGCGGUAAU
rnacentral:rRNA from 1 species